GACGAACGCUGGCGGCGUGCUUAACACAUGCAAGUCGAACGGAAAGGCCCUGCUUUUGUGGGGUGCCCGAGUGGCGAACGGGUGAGUAACACGUGAGUAACCUGCCCUUGACUUUGGGAUAACUUCAGGAAACUGGGGCUAAUACCGGAUAGGAGCUCCUGCUGCAUGGUGGGGGUUGGAAAGUUUCGGCGGUUGGGGAUGGACUCGCGGCUUAUCAGCUUGUUGGUGGGGUAGUGGCUUACCAAGGCUUUGACGGGUAGCCGGCCUGAGAGGGUGACCGGCCACAUUGGGACUGAGAUACGGUCCAGACUCCUACGGGAGGCAGCAGUGGGGAAUAUUGCACAAUGGGCGGAAGCCUGAUGCAGCAACGCCGCGUGCGGGAUGACGGCCUUCGGGUUGUAAACCGCUUUCGCCUGUGACGAAGCGUGAGUGACGGUAAUGGGUAAAGAAGCACCGGCUAACUACGUG
rnacentral:rRNA from 1 species